UACAGAGGUGCCAAGCGUUAGGCAGAAUCACUGGGCUUAAAGCGCGUGUAGGUGGACGGGUAAGUACCUUGUGAAAUCCCACGGCUCAACCGUGGAACUGCUGGGUAUACUGCCUGUCUUGAGGCACUCAGGGGCAGUCGGAACAAAUGGUGGAGCGGUGAAAUGCGUAGAUAUCAUUUGGAACGCCAAAGGUGAAAACAGACUGCUGGGGGUGUCCUGACACUGAGACGCGAAAGCCAGGGGAGCAAACGGGAUUAGAAACCCCCGUAGUCC
rnacentral:rRNA from 1 species